rnacentral:rRNA from 1 species
AUACUCAUUUGACGUUUAGCUGCAGAAGAAGCACCGGCUAACUCCGUGCCAGCAGCCGCGGUAAUACGGAGGGUGCGAGCGUUAAUCGGAAUUACUGGGCGUAAAGCGCAUGCAGGUGGUUUGUUAAGUCAGAUGUGAAAGCCCGGGGCUCAACCUCGGAAUUGCAUUUGAAAACUGGCAAACUAGAGUACUGUAGAGGGGGUAGGAAUUUCAGGUGUAGCGGUGAAAUGCGUAGAGAUCUGAAGGAAUACCGGUGGCGAAGGCGGCCCCCUGGACCAGAUACUGACACUCAGAUGCGAAAGCGUGGGGAGCAAACAGGAUUAGAUACCCUGGUAG